rnacentral:rRNA from 1 species
AUUGAACGCUGGCGGCAUGCCUUACACAUGCAAGUCGAACGCGAAAGGGGGGCAACUUCUGAGUAGAGUGGCGCACGGGUGCGUACUGCAUCGGAACGUGUUCUGUAGCGGGGGAUAACCUAGCGAAAGCUAGGCUAAUACCGCAUACGUCCUACGGGAGAAUGUGGGGCAUCGUAAGAACUCACACUAUCGGAGCGGCCGAUGGCUGGUUAGCUAGUUGGUGGGUUAAAAGCCUACCAAGGCGACGAUCCGUAGCUGGUUUGGGAGGAUGGUCAGCCACACUGGGACUGAGACACGGCCCAGACUCCUACGGGAGGCAGCGGUGGGGAAUUUUGGACAAUGGGGGAAACCCUGAUCCAGCCAUGCCGCGGGAGUGAAGAAGGCCUUCGGGUUGUAAAGCUCUUUCGGCCGGGACGAAAUCGCACGCGUGAAUAUCGCGUGUGGAUGACGGUACCGGAAGAAGAAGGACCGGCUAACUACGUGCCAGCAGCCGCAGUAA